rnacentral:rRNA from 1 species
CACGUAGGGUGCGAGCGUUGUCCGGAAUUAUUGGGCGUAAAGAGCUCGUAGGCGGUGUGUCACGUCGGCCGUGAAAACUUGGGGCUUAACUCUGAGCGUGCGGUCGAUACGGGCAUCACUUGAGUUCGGCAGGGGAGACUGGAAUUCCUGGUGUAGCGGUGAAAUGCGCAGAUAUCAGGAGGAACACCGGUGGCGAAGGCGGGUCUCUGGGCCGAUACUGACGUUGAGGAGCGAAAGCGUGGGGAGCGAACAGG